GAGAAGUGGAUUAGAUUGAAGAAUCACAUAAUCUGUGUCUUGAGGAGCCGCUGAGUUAGAUCCUAAAACAAAUCUCCAUGUUCAUCUUCUGAUUCCAUUAAAAGAUAAGGAUUCGAAAUUUCUCAGGAACUGUUGAGUCACCGAUUGUCUGGAAAAAAAAAUUCAUCGCCGAUUCGUGUCGCAUCCUAUCGACUGUAUCACCUGUUGACAGGAUGAAAAGGAGCCAUAAUGACCCCGAGCCAAUCCCUGUGGGAUCAAAGACGACAACGAUCCUACAUCUCGUUCCGAAUUCAGUAAACUACUCCUCUCAUUCGAGUAUUCCAUGGAAAGCAGGUCAACAUCCGGAAAUACUCUCAUAUUCCGACAAUAUUAAUUGGCGCUACGUCGACAAAAAUUUAUCAUUAACAACACAUUCGUUCAUAUCUUUAAUUAAAAUUUCACUUUUCCCUAAUUAAAGCUUAAUCAUUCACAAUUUCCAAUUCUUCCACGUAUUCACUAAAGAAGAGGAAAAGAAACAAAUUGGCACGGUUGAACAAAUAUCCAAGAGGAAACACAGUCUCGUUCUAUUGAUUCUCACUUUUGUUUUUUUCAUUCGGCUGACAAAACCACCAUAUUCAAAGCGUACACACGCUUUCUUGAAAUAUUUCACACCGUACACGAUUGAACAAAGCACUUCUAUCCGCGGCAAGAACCGUUUGUUUAUUAAAAUCCAAGAUGUAUCUUGGAACUAAUUAAAAGCACAGACGAUAAUUUUUUCUGUAUUUACCAAGUUUUAUCUGGGCCUCGGUAAUUUUAACCGAUUCCAGAUCAUUUUAUCGUGAAAUUCUAGAGAAUGUACGCGUGUAUCCAGAAGCAACAACGUGGAAACUGUACGAGGGAACAUCGAUUGCUGGGUAAUCGAAGAAAAACAGAAAGAAAGAAAGAACAAAAGCGUAGAUAGGAAAGCACAUUAAUUUUCCUUGAAGGGGCAACAACGUAACGAAGUUCACGAGAACACGCUCGUUACCACCGGGUUCGCGUACUCGAUAAGAGAUCUCGCACGAAUGAUUAAAUUUCUACUUAACAAUUAACCCUUGCAAUAUCAUCGACUGCCAGAGAGAAAUUUUUUUUUUCUCAUAAAUUUUGUAUAAAUCUUGCUGAUAUUCCUAGGGUUAAUAUCAACGAUUCUUGACGAAGGUAGAAGUUUUGGAAAUUAAAUCAAUAUAAGCACUCACGGUAUCUUCGGAUGAUUCCAAAAUGUAAGAAGGUGAAACGUAGACUGACAUAAUUUAACGACAGAUUUUUGACAUAUGCAAAUAUACUUUUACAUUAUUCGUGUGUAAAUAGCACCCAUAAGUCCCCUUUGAACGAUCGUUAUACACAAGGAAUUGGAUCGUUGCCCCUUUUCAUCGUGCACGACACAAAUUUAAUGGAAUUAUCACUGUUUCUCAAUGAAAAUCAUAAAUUUUUCCUUUCGCUUUAACAAGACUAAUUAUCAUUCCUUUCAGCGCCCAUUCUUUGUAUAAACAAAGAAUUACCGAUUUUUAUCUCGCACAAUCUUCUUUCGUAACAAUUUCUUUUCACGGUUAUUGUUUCACGAAAGAAGAAAGGGUUACGAUUUAGUAAAAUAAUAUUUCACUGAAUUCAUCUUAAUAGAAGAUUAUGAUUUUCAUAAUAGAAACGAAAAUUGUGAAAAAUGAUAUACGAUCGAUAGUAGAAAUAGUUCACUGUCGGGGUGAUACGUUUCGAUGUUAUAAAAUUAUAAAAUAUGAUAAUCAAUUCGUUGCAUCGUGGAUCGCGUUCGAUCGCACACUGUGAAGUAAGCUUGAAAAAUGUUGUCAAUUAUCGUCGCUCUGUGGACACGGUUUCUGAUAAUGGGGCUAUCGAUAAGAAACUGACCGUCUGUAUAACAGAUACGAUAUCUGGGAGAAAUAUAAAUGUUGGAAUACUGUACUCGAAGAAAUUUUUUCAGAAAUCGUUAGAUAUUCGCAACACACGAGGUGUAUUUUUAAAAAUAUAUAUCAAUCAAUCAAUUAUCUACGUUCACAGCGUACGAAAGAACCGACGAUCGUCGCGUAAAAGCAUUUUUGGCAUCGUAUCGCAAUGCGAUAGAUAGACGAAGAUAUACUACCAUUAAUGAAUCACAUUAGCACCAAUGUGAUAUCGCAAUUAAUUUCAUUUCAUACAUUAUAGCGUUAAUCGUUACAAUUAAUAGAAAUCCAUAAUUAACAUCCGAUAUUGGGUGUACCAAUUAAUUAGCUGCCUUAAAUACAACCCCCUUUGUUUCGAAUCGAUCCACCCCUCGACCGUGAAUUCUUUUUUGGCACCCAACUCCUAUCUACGGGAGGAUGUUAGCAUCGAUGACGAGGGUUCUGGCAGUGGUGAACGAAUUUCGUUGUCUCCGCGAGAAUGGAGACAGAUAAAUCAGUGUUGCACCCAGUGCAUUGGCACAUCGUCGAAGGUAAACGAAAAUAGUAGCGGAUCGGGUUAGUUAAAGUCGCGUUAGAGGAGGAUCGACGACAACGAUGCGUUAACGUACGUGGCCACACUGUGAUCAAAAACUAUAAUUCUCGUUGAUUCUUGGAAGGGAACUUUGAGUUCGAUCCAAAAGAGACAGGCUCGAUUAAUUGAGGCAGUUGAACGCGAGUUACGGUAACAGGAAACGGCUGGCUUUGAUUUAGAUUCUAUUUUCUAAUUCAAAAUGAUCGCUCCGGAUACCUAAAGAAAGGUUAAAAUGUUAUUUUAUCCGUUUCAUUUCAAUGUUUAUGUAUAUUAGAGAUGAAUAAUUUCAUUUUGAGACGAAUGAUUAUGGAGUAACGAAAGUGUAUCAGUUCAUCUGUUCGAUGAAAUCAUUUUUCUUUCUUAUUCAAAGUGUAACAAGUUUCCUCUUCGAAUGAAAAAUCGAUUUUGAAACGGUGUUAACGUGUUAUUACAUAUCGUGUUCAUUACCUCGUGAAGACGAUGCUCUAAAUGACCCUUCAACGCGGCGAACUGUAUCUUCCGAUAAUCUCCAUGGGAAGAAAAUCUCUUGGGACCUUUGCAGCUCGACGAUUUAGCUUUCACUCGAAGAUGCGACAUAUUAUCUCAAUUUUCCUUCGACGAACGUUCAGAUAUCGAUGCUUCCUAUCGCUCGAACUUCUAUCGAAUGGGUCUCUCUCCGUGGUUGUUCGCGAAAUUUUCAAGCGGAACACCUUCGUUACAUUAAACACUUGUUUGAAGCUGAUACCCGAGAUAAUAUAAUAAAAUGUUUAACCUGCUACUCGCUAAACAGAACGAACCGGUUCGUUGUUAAAUAACGUUUCACAGUUUUAAAUAAUCGUUAUUAAAAUCGGUGACCAGUUUCUUCCGUCUCAUUGAGCGUAAUUUAUGCUCGUUAACGAUGAAAAUGAAGUUUAAUUAUUGGGUCAUCCUAUAAGUAGCAAAGUUAUUCGUCUUGGAAAUAGUAAAUCAGAAUACACUAUCGUUUAUCGUCGAAAUUUCACAAAAAAUCUAACGAUACUUGUUAAUUAAUUUUCAUUCGUAUCGGCUGGAUUGAUUCACGAUUUUUCUCGUUUAAUUUUCAAUAUAAAUAUUGUUCAUUGCCUCGAGGUUUUCAUCGAUUUAAUGGAACGAUAAAAAUCAGUAACGGUUUUAUCGAACAAAUCAAGAUAUCGAGCAAAAUCGAAGGGUACGCGUUUAAGAGGAAAUCGAUAAAUCAGCUGAUCGAAUACAAAGCCGACCUAUGAAUUUUUCAAUGGAAAGAAAAGCGCACUGGAUUUUCUUGAUAAUCGAACUAAUUUUUUAAUUAUCCGCCAAUUAUACCGCCUUCUUCUCGAGUGGUUGAUAAAUGGAUAGAUUACGUAACAUUAGCUUAACCAUGAGUUUGUCCUUGCGUUUCUUUCCAUGUGUAACAACUGUUUGUAAAAUAAUAAUUACCGAGAAUCUUAACUCGAAAUGGAACACUUUAAUUAUCCCUAUAUUCCGUAAGCAAAGAACUUUCGUAGUUUGCAAAUUGUAAAACAAUCAUCAAUUUCAUUAUCUCGAGGUAUCUCUGAUUCACGAUUUCCUCCAAUGAAUUAUGCUUCGAGUCAAGGCAAAUAACGUGACGUUCUUUUAAAAAUAAUAAAAAAUAAAGAAGAAGUCGCGACGGUAUUCUAAUAAGUCGAAACGAUUCCCAAGGAUAAUUAUCUACAUUUAGUGUUUUAUGAAUCGAAUUUCAUUGCCGCGACGAAUAAAAUUAAUCUUCUGUAAUUAUCAAAGCUAUUGGAUAUUCGACACUAAACUACACACACUGGAAUUCACCGCGUUCUCCUACUUACAUAAACUUCAAUAAAUUCUCUAUAAAUACAUCAGUGUUUGGCAAGUUAAUCCGCAAAAUGAAAUGUCACCGAGCAAUUUCUUUGUACGCUCGAAAGAACUUUCCAUGACUAAGCUUCCGUUCCCAAGAAACGAUACAACAUCCUCGGUAUCGUCGUUUAACACCGUACGGUUAUUCAGAAAUAUUCCACUUCACUAUCCUAAAAGAGACUGUCAAAAAAAAAAAAAAAAAAAA